rnacentral:lncRNA from 1 species
GGAUUCGAUGAUUCCGAAUUUCUCUUUCACUUGCCUUUGCCCUUCCCUGAUAUUCUUUUGUUCCUCGCUUAUUUCUUUCAUCUCAGAUUUCAAUCUUUUGAAGCUUUCCUCUAUGGUCUUCUACUUGACCCUUCAUCAUCUCCACUUCACCACCCCACCCACUAUUCUUUAACUUCUCCGUAGUUGUACCAGCAGGCCCGGCCCUGGGUCGUCCAGAGAUGUUGCCGUCCAACGUCCAAAACUGAAAGGAGUUCAAAAUAUUGUUUUCUAAUUUUUAAAUUACUCAAAAAAUUUGUUUACCAACCUUUAAAGCAUCUAAAAAAAAAUUUCCCCCUUUAAUCAAAAAAAAAAAUUCCCCCAACUUUAAACAAACCUAAAACCCC